AUUGUCUCCAAAGUUGGACUUUUGCCACUGGUUCUGCGACUUCAUGCAAUGCCAGGGAGAGCCCCUUGAUUUCCCCCAAAUCCUCAUCAGCCUCUUUCCACCCAAGCCCAGAUGAACAGUGUGAGUAAAAAAGAGUGUGGUUGCUGCGUGAACCCAGAUCUCAGACUAGUCAUCCAGCCCCAUUAUGUAGGACUCAGACACCCCUGUCCACAUCUAACCUCCAGCCCUAACGCCACAUUAGAAAUGGGGGUCUUACUGCUGCUGUCACUCCUAGUCACCCUGUUAAAUUCUAUACCGGUUUACCCAAGUCGCCCAGAGACUGGGCCCCACUUACAUAAGCUGAAGAGACCAGCUGCUUUAAUAGCCUCAUUACCUAGGAUAUAGGAUCACUGUCCAACCUCACUCCACAGUGGGCAAGUUUUUACUUCAGAAUAACUUUUGAAAUAAAUUUCCCCGGAACAGCUCGCCCCUCUCAACAGGACUCUGAGGCUCCACUACGUUGCUGUUAUUCCUGACAGAGUGAUGAAAGGAAAUUUAAACAAGUGGCAUUUUGUAAAACCACCCCAGCCUGUGUGACUUUCAAUGCCUGUCCGAUUUGGCUGGGAAAAUAUUUUAGAUCCCCAGGGCUACAUACUGUUUUUUAUACCCUCCUCUUUGUGUCAGUGAUGGAAAAGGUGUCAAUCUGCUCUGAAUCUCUCUGAACACCUCAGGAAAUAGGCUUUUGGCUCGCAGAGAGGGGAUGAGAAAUAGUUUUGAACCACCAAGUCUCUUGGAGGGUGUCAGCAGCCCCUUGAAGUAAAAGUGUGGCUGCAAACCCAGCUCUCUGCAUUAGCCAGGUGAACCUGAGCAUGCUGCAUACACCCUCAGUCUUGGUUUCUUAAUAUGUAAAAUGGGAAUGAAUAUGCGCACCUCGUGGGGUGGUUGUGAUUAAAGGCAUUCAUUAUAAAGAGCUUAGUUUCAUACAAAGUGAUCAGAAGUGUUGGUUUCCCUCCUUAAGUUUUCUUCUCAUUCCUUUUUCCCCUGCGCUUACAGCCAUGCAGUGUACAUUCAAGAAAUUUCCAUGAGGGCAUGAGGUGUCCAGUGUUAGCCUCAAAUCAAGCAUCCACGAGGUAGUUAGUGUAUACAUUAUAUACAUUUAAAGAGGAGGUCUUAGGAAAAGCCAAACCCUGUCUCAAAAUGAGCUUCCACUCUCACCUGGAUGCCAAGUAACACACACACACAAACAAAGGGCAGUAUGGAGUUCACAAGGGAAUGUUCCCGUUUAACUGGAGUCAGCUGAGCUGGAUUCUAGUCCAAUUUCUGCCAGUUAUUCCCUGUGUGACCCAUGUGAUAAAAUGUAUAGAAGGCUUAAAGUGUGCCAAGCAUUGUGGAUUAUAGCACUUAAUUCUCACACUGAUCCAUAUGGUUACUCCUGCUAUUAUCCCCAUUUUACAGAUGAGCAAACUGAGAGAGGUUACAUAACUUGACUCAGGUCACAGUAAAUACAUGGUGGAGCCAGGCUUUGAGACCAGGUAGUAUGAUUCCAGAGCCCACACCUUCCCUGCUGCAUCAUACUAAAUGGGGGCAAGUCACUUAGCCUCUGGGCCUCAGUUUUUCUCAUCUGAACAGAAAGGGGGCCAGACUAGGCGCCACCCAGGGCUCCUUUCAGCUCCAACUUUCUAUACAUCUACUAAGAAAAUUACAUAUGGAUGCUAAAUAAGUUAGGCCCAGGGUGCUUUUAAGAGAAACGUCAAAGUGGAUAGGGUUGCUUCAUUUCCCAGGGGUGGAAAGCCACUAAAAUAUUUCUUCUGUGUUCCUGGUUCCAAUUUGCCACUCAAAAAGCCAAACAAAGAAAUCAUCCCCCAGAGUUCCAUUCCAAUUGAUUUAGAUCCCUGAGGCUAAUUUUGACCAAAAUGGAAGGAGAAGCAGAAGGUGUGGAAACCCAUGGCUUUCUGCACAACAGAUACACAUGAUGAGAAGUCUGUAUUCUCUUACACACAUAUACACACACACACACACACACAACCAGUGUUCAUAUCGCCUUCCACUGAAGCUCAUACCAGUUCCUCUAGCCAAGUUGUCAUGGCAACACCAGCUGCCAAUGAGAUCAUGGAAGACAAGGUCAUAAUGGCAAUGGUGCCUUAAUAUUUUACCUGGCAAAGCCACUUAGUUAUUAAGAUGAAUAACCAUAAGUCAUAAACUCAUAGGAAGCUAGGCACCAUUCAUGUACAUGUUUAGUGUACAAUUGGGGGUGGGGAAUGGAAAUGACAGCGAAGGGAAAGGAACAAAAAGGAAGAGAGGAUGAGGCAGAGAGCGGAGAAGAAGGUCUCUGAUGCUGAUCCUUAUUUUUCAGUGUGGACCAUGCACAGACUCAUCUACUCACCUGAGGAUUAUGAGGAUUAUGAGUUUUAUGGAGCAAAAUUUGCCUAGAACAGGUUGUCAGCUUCUGUGGACACAGUCUUCUACCCUCAGAAAUCCCAUUGGAAGAAAGAACAAAUGAAGCAUCCCAAGGACUGGAGGAUUCUCUUCCCCCAGGGUAUUCAAGGAAGACACUGGGGAACAAAUUGAACAAAGUUUAUUUCAUCAACAAUGAAAAAUGCCCAGAAGGAAAUGAAGCACAAGAUUCAGUUACACAAAGAUGAAAGCUAUUGACCACUUGGCCACUUCUCAUACUAAAAGAGAAGGAAAUAACACGAAGUACUGGAAGUGACAUUAUAUUGUCCUCAUGGUGACAACCAGGAUGGGCCUGACAUAAGCCAGUCCAGGCUGUAUGUGUGGCCCGAGUGCACACAUGCGGUUUCUCUGGCCACCGAAUCAGAACCAGCUGGGCCCCACAAGUCAGUCUCUGGGGGCUGUGAUUCUGCAUUGCAAACAAGUCCUUGGGUAGCUCUCAGGGUUCACCAAGAUUUGAGAACCACUAGUGUGGCUGACUCCAGUGAAACAGUCCCACUUUUACUGCUUUCAACUGUCAUUUAUAUAGAUUCAGGCAAAGAAUGGUUUUUAGAAUGAUGCCCGAUGUAGCAAAUAAAAUGAUCUCAACAUA
rnacentral:lncRNA from 1 species